UUUAUUAUGGCAGAAUAGUGUAUUAAUUUUAGAAAUUAAAUAUAUAUAAAAAUUUAUAUUAAUAAAU
rnacentral:tRNA from 1 species